GCCUCCUUAGCUCAGUGGUAGAGCACUCGCCUUGUAAGCGAGAGCGCGUCGGUUCGAGUCCGACAGGGGGCU
rnacentral:tRNA from 1 species